rnacentral:rRNA from 1 species
GAUGAACGCUGGCGGCGUGCCUAAUACAUGCAAGUCGAGCGAACGGACGAGAAGCUUGCUUCUCUGAUGUUAGCGGCGGACGGGUGAGUAACACGUGGAUAACCUACCUAUAAGACUGGGAUAACUUCGGGAAACCGGAGCUAAUACCGGAUAAUAUUUUGAACCGCAUGGUUCAAAAGUGAAAGACGGUCUUGCUGUCACUUAUAGAUGGAUCCGCGCUGCAUUAGCUAGUUGGUAAGGUAACGGCUUACCAAGGCAACGAUGCAUAGCCGACCUGAGAGGGUGAUCGGCCACACUGGAACUGAGACACGGUCCAGACUCCUACGGGAGGCAGCAGUAGGGAAUCUUCCGCAAUGGGCGAAAGCCUGACGGAGCAACGCCGCGUGAGUGAUGAAGGUCUUCGGAUCGUAAAACUCUGUUAUUAGGGAAGAACAUAUGUGUAAGUAACUGUGCACAUCUUGACGGUACCUAAUCAGAAAGCCACGGCUAACUACGUGCCAGCAGCCGCGGUAAUACGUAGGUGGCAAGCGUUAUCCGGAAUUAUUGGGCGUAAAGCGCGCGUAGGCGGUUUUUUAAGUCUGAUGUGAAAGCCCACGGCUCAACCGGGGAGGGUCAUUGGAAACUGGAAAACUUGAGUGCAGAAGAGGAAAGUGGAAUUCCAUGUGUAGCGGUGAAAUGCGCAGAGAUAUGGAGGAACACCAGUGGCGAAGGCGACUUUCUGGUCUGUAACUGACGCUGAUGUGCGAAAGCGUGGGGAUCAAACAGGAUUAGAUACCCUGGUAGUCCACGCCGUAAACGAUGAGUGCUAAGUGUUAGGGGGUUUCCGCCCCUUAGUGCUGCAGCUAACGCAUUAAGCACUCCGCCUGGGGAGUACGACCGCAAGGUUGAAACUCAAAGGAAUUGACGGGGACCCGCACAAGCGGUGGAGCAUGUGGUUUAAUUCGAAGCAACGCGAAGAACCUUACCAAAUCUUGACAUCCUUUGACAACUCUAGAGAUAGAGCCUUCCCCUUCGGGGGACAAAGUGACAGGUGGUGCAUGGUUGUCGUCAGCUCGUGUCGUGAGAUGUUGGGUUAAGUCCCGCAACGAGCGCAACCCUUAAGCUUAGUUGCCAUCAUUAAGUUGGGCACUCUAAGUUGACUGCCGGUGACAAACCGGAGGAAGGUGGGGAUGACGUCAAAUCAUCAUGCCCCUUAUGAUUUGGGCUACACACGUGCUACAAUGGACAAUACAAAGGGCAGCGAAACCGCGAGGUCAAGCAAAUCCCAUAAAGUUGUUCUCAGUUCGGAUUGUAGUCUGCAACUCGACUACAUGAAGCUGGAAUCGCUAGUAAUCGUAGAUCAGCAUGCUACGGUGAAUACGUUCCCGGGUCU